GACGAACGCUGGCGGCGUGCUUAACACAUGCAAGUCGAACGGAAAGGCCCUGCUUUUGUGGGGUGCUCGAGUGGCGAACGGGUGAGUAACACGUGAGUAACCUGCCCUUGACUUUGGGAUAACUUCAGGAAACUGGGGCUAAUACCGGAUAGGAGCUCCUGCUGCAUGGUGGGGGUUGGAAAGUUUCGGCGGUUGGGGAUGGACUCGCGGCUUAUCAGCUUGUUGGUGGGGUAGUGGCUUACCAAGGCUUUGACGGGUAGCCGGCCUGAGAGGGUGACCGGCCACAUUGGGACUGAGAUACGGCCCAGACUCCUACGGGCGGCAGCAGUGGGGAAUAUUGCACAAUGGGCGGAAGCCUGAUGCAGCAACGCCGCGUGCGGGAUGACGGCCUUCGGGUUGUAAACCGCUUUCGCCUGUGACGAAGCGUGAGUGACGGUAAUGGGUAAAGAAGCACCGGCUAACUACGUG
rnacentral:rRNA from 1 species